ensembl:processed_transcript
AUUUCUCAUCAGGACCAGUCUGACUGCACCUGCAUCCUUAGCUCAGAGCAUCCCUGGAGCAUCUAAGAGGAAAGCGCAGCUAGCAACCAGGGAUCGUACUGCAGGGGCAGUCGGCCAUGCACCUUCCCCUCCCCUGAUCUGGAGGUCUACAGCCGCGGCCUCGGUACUGACCGAGAUUCCCAAAGUUGUCUGACCUCUGCAAAAGUGUUUCUAUCAAGAGCCUCUGAUUACAACAUGGCUGAGAUCACAAAUAUACGCCCCAGCUUUGGUAAGUAGAGCCAAGAAAACUAAUUUGGGGGCGAUCAGUGCCGUUGCAAUGCCAGAUAGCUGAGGAAUGGGCGGGGAGUGAAGUCCAAAUGGGACCCUCUCAUUGCCAGCCUAGCGAGAAUAGGGCCUGAGGUCAUGAGUAGAAGGCUGUGAAGAACCUCUGAAUUUCAGUUGUUGGCAAGGGCAGAGUGCCACCGAGCUUAGGCAAGUCCAGGAUGCUAAAACCUUGAUGGUAAACCUUGAUGGUGCACUGUCAGCACGACUGGAGGUGAGAAAUGGCAAGCUUGCGGAGGAUGUGAACAGCCCCCCCCCUUUCUGGAGGAAGAGAGGUGGGGUAGGCCGAGCCCUCCCCCUAGGGGCACGCAGGGCGGUGCCCCUUCCUCCCCCUCCUACUUCUGAGGGCUGCAGGAGAGGAAAGUGGCAAGGGGGAUGGGACAUCAAGAUGGCAGCGUGGAGACUAUGGGCUGUAUGGCUGGAAGCCAAGGGAGGCGGAGGCCUCCAGGGAUAGAAGGGUGCGGGGGUGGGGAGCUCAAAUGAAGCCACUCCUUAAGCCGGUCAGAGGGUUGCUAGGGCUAGGGUAAAAUGCAAGUCCUGCAUGCUUCAUUCUGCACCGUAAUGGUGUAGUCCUUCGCAGUGUUACCAAAUGGCGCUUGGCGCCGCCGGGCGGAGAGAUGACGUGAUGUCUAUUUCUGAACCUCCUGGCAGUGCCUAGGCGCCCCUUCCGGGGCCUUUGUUCCCUGUUUUCCCGGUCUGGCAUUUCAAAAAAGGGGACUCACCCGCGCUGGUGCUGGCCUGGGAGGUAAUCCUGGCCUGGGGGAGGGGCUGGAGAGGCCCAGCCCGGGGGAGGUCGCUUUGUGUACCACAGAAAGCAUUACGUCAUCUCGGAGCCGCUGGUCCAAGACCUAGCCCUCUGGGUUCUCAGAGCACUUUUACACUCCCUGGGGCAGAAAGCACUGUGGUAAAUAGGUGGGAAAGAAAGCAAGAGAGGCUUGGCCAAGUCGUUUCCUCUUGGGGAACUCCUCCAUAACGAUCCAGGAGCAUAAACUUCUCAUGCUCUGCUUCAGACCACAUAAAUAAGUAAAAUAAAAUUGUCCUUCGAUUGGAGUAAUCAAGUAAGAGUUGUUGCAGAGCAAACCUAGAACCUUCAUAUUCCUUAAGAGAGUAUAUCCCUCAGACAAUCCAGGUGUGAGCAUUAGGUUCCAAAAUUUAGGGUAGAGACACAAGCCAUCUUUAAAAAAAAAAAAAUGGCUUUCUCACUCCCAAGAAAGAGGUAUAUGGAACUGAACGAAACCCAGUGUUCUCAACAUAAGCCAUCAGAUCACAGCAAAAGCGUCCAGACAAUGGAUCUUCACACCCCUAAGCCCUUGUUCCCAUUUGACCCCAAGGCUGGGUCUUACUGUAUUUCUUCAGCUUUGCUCUGUCUCUAUCCUCUAAGUCUUGAGUUUCCCAGACCGAAAUCCUUUUUGUGAUCACAUGAGAAACCCAGGAUUUUCUUCACAAUCUUUUGCUUCUCAAACUCUCUUUUUCCAGCAGAGUUCUUUCUCUAAUUGCAAUUCUAGAGCCUUUUGAGAGUAGAUGAAACAGAACCUGGACUUGUGGUUUCUUUACUUCCUGAGUUCAAGGCCAGUUUAGGGCUACUUCCUGAGUUCAAAACCUGACUGGACAAGGUCAUGAGACUGGUCUCUAAAAACAAGAAGCCAGGAAUGGUGGUUCAAGGCAUUUUCCCCCAGUACUUGGGAGACUGAGGUAGAAGUGUCAUGAGUUCAAAGUAAGCCUGAGUAUGUCCAAUCAGCGCCCACUAGAGACUGAAACCCUGAAAAAAAUAAAAAUAAAACAAAGUUAAAAAAGUGAUCAUAGCAUGGUGGAUCACACUACAAUUCUAUAGCACUGGGAAGGUGGAGUUUAGAAUUCAAAGGCCAGGGCCAGGAAGAUGGAUCAGUAUGUAGAACACUUGGGCUCAAAACCUAACAAACUGAGUUCUAGCCUUAGAGCCCACAUAAAGGUGGAAGGAGAAAAAAGGAAUCCACAGAGCUGUCAUCUACCUUUACCCAUACACUCAUGGCAUGUCACACACACGCACAUGCACACAUAGUAAUAUGGUUUUUGAAAUAUUUAAAACAACAAAAAAAUUGAAGGCCAGCUUUGGCUGUAUAGCCAUUUUGUAGCCUGGGCUACAUGACACUCUUGUUUCAAAAAAAAAAAAAAAAAGAAAUUGAACAAAC